rnacentral:rRNA from 1 species
GACGAACGCUGGCGGCGUGCUUAACACAUGCAAGUCGAACGGAAAGGCCCUGCUUUUGUGGGGUGCUCGAGUGGCGAACGGGUGAGUAACACGUGAGUAACCUGCCCUUGACUUUGGGAUAACUUCAGGAAACUGGGGCUAAUACCGGAUAGGAGCUCCUGCUGCAUGGUGGGGGUUGGAAAGUUUCGGCGGUUGGGGAUGGACUCGCGGCUUAUCAGCUUGUUGGUGGGGUAGUGGCUUACCAAGGCUUUGACGGGUAGCCGGCCUGAGAGGGUGACCGGCCACAUGGGGACUGAGAUACGGCCCAGACUCCUACGGGAGGCAGCAGGGGGAAAUAUUGCACAAGGGGCGGAAGCCUGAUGCAGCAACGCCGCGGGCGAGAUGACGGCCUUCGGGUUGUAAACCGCUUUCGCCUGUGACGAAGCGUGAGUGACGGUAAUGGGUAAAGAAGCACCGGCUAACUACGU